ACGCCACCACUUCCGCUCCCUGCGCCCGCGCCGCAUCCCGCGCCGCCACAUCCCAGCGCUCGCGCCGCCGCAUCCCUGCGCCCACGUCCCCGCCGCCGCACCCAUGCGCCCGCGUCCCCGCCGCCAGUUCCUCUCCCGCAUCUCUCUCCCUCAGUCCGAGCCCGCCGCCGCCCGCGCCCGCCGUCCAAUGCCGCCCGCGCCCGCCGUCCGACCUCACCGGCGACCUCCGCCCGCCUAGGGGUCCGCCUACCCCCAUAGGCGAGGCGGAACCCCCUCGACUACCGGUUAGUCGCGCCUAGUCGCCGUCUAGGCGCCGCCUAGCUGAACUUGGCUACUGCUCUACAAGAACCAGCAAAAGGCAUUGUGUUUGCAAGAAUCAUAAUCAGUGGUGGCUGCGCGUUGAUGGUGGCCGGAGCAUGGCGACCAUGACCUCUCCGAUGUUCUCCUAGUCCUCUUGGUCUGGAUCUCAUGGCGCCAGGUUAGCAUUCUUGUCUUGAGAUAGACUAGCGCAUGAGAACAGGGGAUAUUAACUUAUGAAGUGCUUAACUAAUAUCAUUAAAGUGCCUAUAUAUGGAACAUUAAUUAAAACACUUACAAUAUUGAAGAGCAUUGAAAAGUACUGACCAAUAUAAGGCUAUAGGGUUAUGAAGUGUUUAUUUUAUUGAAACUACUGGUAGCUGGAAUGUAAAAUGCUUAAAUGAUAUUAUCAGAAUGCGUACUUAGUAUCCUCUAAAAUACUUAUGAUGUGUUCCUUAUUAUGAUACUAUCAAGAAAUUUUCAUUUUAUUCUGUACUGAUGCGUACUUGAUAAGUUAUAAGAAUCUGGUACAAAUCUCACUAAGUGGAUUUUAUAGGGAUGAAACAGUUUUUUUUUUGUUUUUUUGGGGGGGGGAUCCCAUCCCUUCCUACACGUAUUUCUACACUUGUCCAUACUGUUACAUAUGUUCGCAAAAAAUAUAGAACCACAACAGGAAACAAGUCAGGAGAUCAGGAUUAUAUGUAUCGUAUGCUAAAACAACAAGCAUUUUACCCAAUGUAGUUCAGCAUUUUGAUUUGGGGAUUUUUGUGUGGUGUUUGCUUUUUGGAGAUGGUCACGGAGUAGAAUACUCGUGUGCUCAUCCUCGGUUUGAUUUUUUACGGUCAUCAUUCUGGGUAAACAUUGCUGCUCCUAAUCACUGGUGAGCUACCCUCAUUGCUGGGAUCAUUUUUGAAAUAUGUUCCACACUUCAUUCUAAGCAACUUUUCUAUUUGACACAAACAUUAAUCUGGUCAUAAACAGACAAUAAUAUUCUAUUAAUUAGGCAAACCACCAUUUAUGUGUUGGCUAGUUUAUGGGCAUUUCUGAUGUGUUUGUUUGCUCCUAUUUGAUAUGAUUGCAUAUGAAUUUGUGUAGAUUACGCGAUAUGCUUCACAAAUCUUUAUCUCAGUUUUGGCUCAGUAAAUCAGCAGCUUAGCGUUUCCGCUUGAAUUGCCUUUUUUAGGCCGACAUCAUUGAUCCAUUCUAUCUGAGUGCUUGAGUGCAAUACAAAAGAUUUGCAUCUUGAUCAUCUAUAGGAAAUCACGAUCAAAUUCUGGUGGUAGCUCGUUUAGAUCCAUUCUAUCUUGCUUUUUGCUUUUUUUUUCUUUUUUUUUCAAACUGCAGAACAACAAAUAUGAUUUUUUAGACAACAGUAACAUAUAUGCAUCAAAGCAAUAUAAGUCAUUUUAACAGGCAAUAAUGUGUUCUAAAUAGGCAUAUCAGUGUUUCUUAGUCAGGCAAUUAUGCAUUUUCUUUUCUUCCAGAUUUUUUGCUUAACCAGCAUCAAAGCAAUAUAAGUCAUUUUAACGGGCAAUAAUGUGUUCCAAAAUUAUGCAUAUCAGUGUUUCUUAGUCAGGCAAUCACGCAUUUUCUUUCCUUCCAGAUUUCUUGCUUAACCAGCAUCAAAACAGUAUAAGUCAUUUUAAGAGGCAAUAAUGUGUUUCUAAACCGGCAGAUCAAUAUUUCUUGGUCACGUCUACAACAGUACAUGGGAAUGGAGGGCAACAAGCUGUAUCUACCAAAUCAGUUCAGAAACUUCAACACAAGCAGUUUAGUUUUGUCCGUCAAAAGCAACUUUUUCGGCAUCACAAAACAGAUGUGUCAUGGAGAAAUGUGAUUGUCCUGAGAGCAUAUGCUUCUGUUGUAGUUGUUUCGCUGUAAUUGAUUGAUUAUAUA